UAUUAUCAAUAACGAUAUGAAAGUACAUUGCCGUUAUGGGUUAGGAAAUGGAAUCACAUCACUAUUAUAGGUGAAAGUGGAAGUACAUUGCGUAUAUUGGUUUCCGAAAAGGUCCCAAUAAUCCAUUAAGAACUUAUGCAUACAAAGCAUCAAAAUAAUAUAAGAGUAGUUGCAUAUUGUAAAAAGCUUUGCAAAAAUAUAAAAAUAUAUCCCAAAGAGAAAUGGGCAUAAGCAUAACCACUGAAUAACAAAGAAUCCCAACCAACCCUUGUGUAUAUCGGACGUUGGCACAAUCUAUAAUCAAAGCGAAAUAUUACUUUUUAGCUUAAUUGUAAAGUGUUUAUAAUAAGAUAAACCAACUAUAAUAAAAAAACUUAAAAGUACAUUGUCAUUUCUUGCGUUUAAUCUUCCAAAUAAUCUUAAAGAUAUGGUUUCCUAAUAUUAAACUUAUUAUAAUAAAAUCUCAGGAAAUUGAAAAAUAAUUUGACGAUUUUCCAAAAGUCAAUGCGGAAAGAUUGCCUAAACUUUGUAAUUACAAAAGACUCAUGAAAUCACAUAAAACUUUAGCGGCUUUCCAAAGGUUAAUACAGAAAGAAUGCGUUAAUUGUAGAAAAUUAGGAAAAAAGGGUUUUCACUAUCAAGCCACAACCACAAAAAAAAUUAGUUAUGGCAAUUUCAACACCUAAAGGGACUUUUUAUCGGAAAUUAAAAAACCAAAGAUCACUUGUACAUUGCUAUUACCAAAAAAAAAGUUAAUUGCCUCUACCAAAAAUUAACAGCUAUCACAAAUUCAAUUUGUAUGCCACUUAGUAGAUACUUCUUAAUCUUCUCUGACUAACAAAACCCAAAGUAAGAAUUUGUAAUCACAUUUCAAAAUAAAACAGUAGUAAUUUCGAACCAAAUAUGGAAGGAUUAAAGAAGAGAAAUAGAUAUAAAAAUUACCAAAUUUCUUUGGAUGGCAGUUCUUAACUUUUAGUGCACCUUCUAUUUUAUUAGAAGGUGGGGUUUGCUGUCAAAGGUCCUUCCUGAAACCAACCAACUGAUAGAAUAAUUGGCUAUGAAAAAUAUUUUACCCUUAUUAUUGUCAUUCCUGUCAACUAUAAAGCAUAUAAAUGAAAUACAUAGGAAGAUAUUUGUUUCUUUCCCUGAUCCUGAGUAGCAAGUAAUUAAUCAGUUGGUAGAUGGAGGAAUGCAUAGGCUUUUCAUCUAUUAAACUUUGAUUAUCAUUUUAAAAUUGUACCCCUAAAAUUGAAAUCCAAGAAAUUAGAAAAUCUUUUGCUCAUCUUCUCCUUUAACAACUUGUCAACAGAAAUAAUAACAAAACGACAUACAAGAGGAUGUCUUGCCGUGUUAUAUGUUAAUAAAGUACAACUUGAAAAGACAAAAUAGUAAUCAAUUAAUUCAAAUAUGUAAAAAGAGCAAGAAGUAUACUAAAUGUANAAGUAUAAACUAAAUGUAAUCAAGAAAUAGAAAUCUAAAUUCCAAACCAAAUAGAAAAUUGAAAUUCACAGAGAACAACAGUAAAUCUUAUCCGAAAGUUAUAAAAUAAUGAUGUGGGGAUAUCUAUAUCUUUUUAAACCUGCAAAUAUAAUUAAAUUAAUUUCAGAUAUAAUCAGAUACAAUGAUCAGAAAACAAAAACAACAGACAAGUUUACCCUAGAGAACAACAAAAUCGAAUGAUGUUAAUCAAAUUACCAGGAGAACAAGUACAAGAAAGGUUGUUAAUCGUGGAACAAAAAAGGAUGUUAAAAGAAAUAAAAAAUAGUUUAAAAGUCAUAAAUCGUCCGAACUCUAAUCAUGGAACAAGAAAGGACGUUAAUUGUCUGAACCGUAGUCAUGGAAAAAUCAAAGAUAAAAUUUCAAAUUCAAAAUCAUUAUUAACCUUAAGGGGAUACUGGCAGGAAUCGAACCGUAGAUGUCGGCGACGUCUUGUUGAUUACGGCCUAGAAAUUAAACAAAAAUAGAAGAAAUAGCAAACCUAUUAGGGCUGAGAUAAACAAAAUAUAAAACAUAAUAAACAAGUAAAACUGAAAGUAAGUUUCAAAGAGAAGAUCUAAACCCCAGAAAGAUCGACUUCAGUGGUCGUCUUCAACUUCAAAUUGUAAAAAAUGAUAGGUUAAAUAUGAAACUAUUUAGGUUGGCGACAGAGAAAAAAAAACCUGAACCAACAAACGAUUUCAUUGUACCUCACAUGAAAACGCAGAGUAGGUGAGACGGUGGAGCUUGGCAGCAAGUAAGGGUGUCGGUAGAAGAACGAGACGAUUCAAGGAGGAAAAAACACGAAGAUGUCGUGAAACAGGAAUCAAGGCUUCAUAAAAGGAAGGUCAAUAGCCCCAAUUAAGUCACACCUCUCAAUAAAACCCACCAAAAAUAAAAACAAAAUCUUAUAAAAAGAGUAAUGUGUAGAUGGAGAACAAACCUACAAACAGUUUGAUUUUCCCAGUUAAUUAACUCACACACCUUCCUUCCUGAUCUUUUUGACAGCAACAACAAAAUCCAUUUCCUGGAGUAUUUUACUCAAUCAUGUAGGCAACAACAACACCUUUCUUCCUGAUCUUUUUGACAGCAACAUCACAACCUAUUUCUUGAAGUAACUCGAUGAUGUAAGCAACAAUAACACGUUCCUUGCUGAUCUUUUCUCAUCUAUCAUGAUUAAGUUGCAGAACAUCAGCAGACAAAUUAAAAAAAAUCUACAACUAAGAACCCUAAUUUUAAAGAAGAAGAAGAUGGUUAAUGAAGUGAUUAUUAUAGCAUUUGAUAGGAAGAGAUGGAGCCAGUAAUUGAAACGGGAAGUAAACAUAACACUUAUCCGAACAUCUGCUCAUCAUUGUCGUCAGUUGAACCACCACCGACACACACCCCAAAAACCACGGGGGGUUCUUGGGGUCGAUGAAUUAAAUGGGGAAGGCUUUGCUUCAAUUGGGGUCGCUGGAAACAGAAGAGAGAUAAAGAUAUAAAUGAAACCCAAAAAUGAAUGUGAUGAAGAGAAAGAAAGCGGUUUAUAGCAAGUGUCUUUUUUGAUGAAAGAAAACCAUUAGUGAAAGUGGUGGUGGUAGAAAACGGUGAAUGACUAAUCACGGAGUGGAAGGUGACUUGGCUUGGGGAUGAAGGUGUGCAAAGAAAAUAGAUGGCCACCUGUCAAACGUGUAGGGCGGUGGAGAAAUAGUGGAAGACUGCUUGCAGAGCGACGGUAGAAGACAGAGGCAAGUAACUUUGGUUCCUCCAAACUUGCAGUCUCAUUGGGGGAGAAGGGCGGUGCAGCAGGCAAAUCGUGAAGCAGACGCGCCCCCAUUUUAAGGGGAUUAAUAAAAGCGCCAAAAAGGAUAUGAAGAAGCAUGAGAUAAGGAUAGGAGGGCAAGCUGGUGAUAACGGAGUGAUGGAAGGGGGAAGGAGGUGCAACCAUCCGAUCUCCAAACUGGUAUCUUGUCGGUUCCUUCCUAAGCCUGAGCUAAGGAUAACGGUCAUCCACUGGAAUUGAACUUGAAUCAGAAGUUUAUGAAGACGAUUGUAAUUGUAGUGAAAAAAGAUUGAAGUUAAACCAGAAAGGAUUAAUAAACGAGAGAAUGGCAAAUCGUAUCCAACAAUCUAACUUCUAAUCUGUGGGUUAAAGGGCGGUGAUAACGGAGGUAACAUCAAC
rnacentral:lncRNA from 1 species